rnacentral:piRNA from 1 species
UCAGAUGCGGAGACAGUUUUGGACGU